rnacentral:rRNA from 1 species
UACGUAGGGUGCAAGCGUUAAUCGGAAUUACUGGGCGUAAAGCGUGCGCAGGCGGCUUUGCAAGACAGAUGUGAAAUCCCCGGGCUCAACCUGGGAAUGGCAUUGGUGACUGCACGGCUAGAGUGUGUCAGAGGGGGGUAGAAUUCCACGUGUAGCAGUGAAAUGCGUAGAGAUGUGGAGGAAUACCGAUGGCGAAGGCAGCCCCCUGGGAUAACACUGACGCUCAUGCACGAAAGCGUGGGGAGCAAACAGG